AUGAACGCUGGCGGCGUGCUUAAUACAUGCAAGUCGAACGAAGAGUGUAGCAAUACUCUCUUAGUGGCGAAUGGGUGCGUAACACGUGGGUGACCUGCCCCGAAGUGCGGAAUAACAGAUCGAAAGGCCUGCUAAUACCGCAUGUGGUUCUGGAGGUUAGAGGCUUCAGAACUAAAGUCGCAAGACGCUUCGGGAGGGGCCUGCGGUCCAUCAGCUAGUUGGUAGGGUAACGGCCUACCAAGGCGACGACGGAUAGGGGACCUGAGAGGGUGACCCCCCACACUGACACUGAAACACGGGUCAGACGCCUACGGGUGGCAGCAGUAAGGAAUAUUGCACAAUGGGCGAAAGCCUGAUGCAGCAACGCCGCGUGCGCGAUGAAGGCCUUCGGGUCGUAAAGCGCUUUUCGGGGAGAUGAGAAAGGACAGUAUCCCCGGAAUAAGGUACGGCUAACUACGU
rnacentral:rRNA from 1 species